rnacentral:lncRNA from 1 species
UCAGCCCAAUCUUUGAUCGGAAUACUAACAUCAGUGUAUUAGAGUUGGGACCAUCCAUGGCAAUUGUAUGUGCCAAUAUAUUGAAAACCGUAAUUCAUGAACCUAAAUUACAUAUCUGGCCUUAGUUUUGCUGCAUCUAGGCCGUUUGCAGCCCAGUUGCAGAAACUGGGCUUAUAGUGAUCCAAAUCAUGCGCAUGCAUGAAAUGUUCGAUAAAAUGCCUGAGAAACUGGUUCGUUUAGGAUGAGCUACCCCAGGAAGUGCUGACCUUUUCCAACUACUUGAUCGUGACCUUUUGGUUUACGAGGUCACCAUGGUGGCGUUCACUCUCCCUGCACCAACAUGGGUGCGCUCGAGGUUGCUAAAUGGGUCCUGCCUCCAUGGAGAAGCACAACGUGGAUGGCUGGAUCAGCAUCAGCACCACUAUCAUGUACUUAAGGGCUGCCCGCCUCCUCACCCUUCAUGAAGGCCAGCAGAUCCACAUGCAUCCCCUCAAUCCAGUUUUAAUGCGGACAUUCUCAUCCACCACAACUCUUGCGCGGGAAUUGUUCGAUACAAUGCUUGAGAGGAAUAUGUAGGUUUUCUAUAUUACAAUUUUUACUUUCCAGACAAAAAGAUGUGCCUUCCUUCACGCAAAUCCUUCGCUUUGAGAUCUAUGCAAGUGGAUGAAUGACGGAGUUUAGAGCGCUUUGAGACCUGUGCUAUGGGUGAUCCAAUGGGAUUCAUGCAAAGGUGAAUAUGUAUGGUCCUCAAUCAAUCAUUUUUUUUUUUCUAAAGAAUCAAUCAAGAUAUUCACCAUGUCAUGAUUGGAUUGCUUAAUCAC